rnacentral:rRNA from 1 species
UACGGAGGGUGCAAGCGUUAUCCGGAAUCACUGGGUUUAAAGGGUGCGUAGGCGGCUUUAUAAGUCUGUUGUGAAAGCCAUCGGCUUAACCGAUCGAAUUGCAAUGGAUACUGUAGAGCUUGAAUCAGGUUGAGGCAGGCGGAAUGCGACAUGUAGCGGUGAAAUGCUUAGAUAUGUCGUAGAACACCGAUUGCGAAGGCAGCUUGCUGGACCUUGAUUGACGCUGAGGCACGAAAGCGUGGGGAGCAAACAGG